AUGAGGGGGAAACUAAGUAAGAUGCCGGAGAAGCGACGAAAUAUACGAGAUCAAAAACGUAGAUUGCUCGCGGCUAAAUAUGAAUUGAGACGAAAGCUUUCAAAUUUUGUAACCCGAUUUCCGUCUGAUAUGCGGGACAAACAUCGUUAUAAGUUGUCCAAGUUGCCAAGAAAGAGUUCAAUGGCACGAGUAAGAAACCGAGGUAUUUUCACGGGUCGCCCUCGUUCGGUAGUUGAGUUCUUUCGCAUUUCUCGUAUCGUUUUUCGUGGAUUAGCAUCUCGAGGUUCUUUGAUGGGCAUAAAGAAAUCGUCUUGGUAG
rnacentral:rRNA from 1 species